rnacentral:rRNA from 1 species
UACGUAGGGGGCAAGCGUUGUCCGGAAUUAUUGGGCGUAAAGAGCGCGUAGGCGGUCCGAUAAGUCGGCUGUGAAAGUCAAGGGCUCAACCCUUGAAAGCCGGCCGAUACUGUCGGACUAGAGUCCGGAAGAGGCAAGUGGAAUUCCCGGUGUAGCGGUGAAAUGCGCAGAUAUCGGGAGGAACACCAAUGGCGAAGGCGGAUCUCUGGGCCUUACUGACGCUCAGGUGCGAAAGCUAGGGAGCGAACAGG